AUUGAACGCUGGCGGCAGGCCUAACACAUGCAAGUCGAACGAGAGGAGGACGGGUGAGUAAUGUCUGGGAAACUGCCUGAUGUACGGGGCUAACUACGGUAAAAGGUGGCUAAUACCGCAUACGACCGUUUGUGCUCAGAUGGGAUGAGCUAGUAGGUGGGGUAAAGGCUCACCUAGGCGACGAUCCCUAGCUGGUCUGAGAGGCUGACCUGCCACACUGGAACUGAGACACGGUCCAGACUCCUACGGGAGGCAGCAGUGGGGAAUAUUGCACAAUGGGCGCAAGCCUGAUGCAGCCAUGCCGCGUGUAUGAAGAAGGCCUUCGGGUUGUAAAGUACUUUCAGCGGGGAGGCGUUACCCGAAGAAGAAGCACCGGCUAACUCCGUGCCAGCCGCCGCGGUAAUAC
rnacentral:rRNA from 1 species